GUCCUCGUAGCACAGUGGUUAACACUUGAUGCUCUUUCAGGGUUUGACUUUCCCGAACCACCUAAGACACCAGGAGACGUUGGUUCGAACCCGACCGAGGACA